GACGAACGCUGGCGGCGUGCUUAACACAUGCAAGUCGAACGGAAAGGCCCUGCUUGCAGGGUACUCGAGUGGCGAACGGGUGAGUAACACGUGGGUGAUCUGCCCUGCACUUCGGGAUAAGCCUGGGAAACUGGGUCUAAUACCGGAUAGGAGCCAUUUUUAGUGUGAUGGUUGGAAAGUUUUUUCGGUGUAGGAUGAGCUCGCGGCCUAUCAGCUUGUUGGUGGGGUAAUGGCCUACCAAGGCGGCGACGGGUAGCCGGCCUGAGAGGGUGGACGGCCACAUGGGGACUGAGAGACGGCCCAGACUCCUACGGGAGGCAGCAGUGGGGAAUAUUGCACAAUGGGCGCAAGCCUGAUGCAGCGACGCCGCGUGGGGGAUGACGGCCUUCGGGUUGUAAACUCCUUUCGCUAGGGACGAAGCUUUUGUGACGGUACCUAGAUAAGAAGCACCGGCUAACUACGUG
rnacentral:rRNA from 1 species